rnacentral:lncRNA from 1 species
GCGUAGCAGUGAAUAGUGCCCGACAGGAUUUAUGGGAAUUUUCGGAAAUUCGAGAAUUUAUCAGUAUUUUCGAGUUUUAUAAUGUAUUUGACACCUUAACUUAUAAAUACCCCUCAAAAACUUCAAGAAAAGGUUUCAGACUUUACUUUUAUUCUAUUUUUUUUUUCUUUUUUUCUGAGAGCUGCAGAGACAAACGGAGAAAAACUCAAGAGCAAGAACUGAAGAUUCACAGAUUUUCCUACGGUUUAUUUGUUGAAUGUUCAUCUUUU